rnacentral:rRNA from 1 species
CAGUAGCCACGGGAAUACGAAGGGUGCAAGCGUUAAUCGGAAUUACUGGGCGUAAAGCGUGCGUAGGCGGUGAGUUAAGUCUGCUGUGAAAUCCCCGGGCUCAACCUGGGAAUGGCAGUGGAUACUGGCUCGCUAGAGUGUGUCAGAGGAUGGUGGAAUUCCCGGUGUAGCGGUGAAAUGCGUAGAGAUCUGGAGGAAUACCGAUGGCGAAGGCAGCCAUCUGGCCUAAUACUGACGCUGAGGUACGAAAGCAUGGGGAGCAAACAGGAUUAGAUACCCGCGUAGUCCCUGUCUCUUAUAA